AUUGAACGCUGGCGGCAGGCCUAACACAUGCAAGUCGAACGAGUGGCGGACGGGUGAGUAAUGUCUGGGAAACUGCCUGAUGGAGGGGGAUAACUACUGGAAACGGUAGCUAAUACCGCAUACCAUCGGAUGUGCCCCGAUGGGAUUAGCUAGUAGGUGGGGUAAAGGCUCACCUAGGCGACGAUCCCUAGCUGGUCUGAGAGGAUGACCAGCCAGACUGGAACUGAGACAAGGGCGAGAAGACUACGGGAGGCAGCAGGGGGGAAGAUUGCACAAUGGGCGCAAGCCUGAUGCAGCAAUGCCGCGUGUGUGAAGAAGGCCUGCGGGUUGGAAAGUACUUUCAGCGGGGAGGCGUUACUCGCAGAAGAAGCACCGGCUAACUCCGUGCCAGCAGCCGCGGUAAUUC
rnacentral:rRNA from 1 species